GUACACACCGCCCGUCGCUACUACCGAUUGAAUGUUUUAGUGAGAUCUUCGGCUWGGUUUUCCGAGCGGCUUUCGGGUCGUUCGGUWUAUAUCRAAAGAUGCUCAAAYUGGAUCAUUUAGAGGAAGUAAAAGUCGUAACAAGGUAUUCGUAGGUGAACCUGCAGAAGGAUCA
rnacentral:rRNA from 1 species